GAUGAUCGCUGGCGGCGUGCUUAACACAUGCAAGUCGAACGAUGAAGCCCAGCUUGCUGGGUGGAUUAGUGGCGAACGGGUGAGUAACACGUGAGUAACCUGCCCUUGACUCUGGGAUAAGCCUGGGAAACUGGGUCUAAUACCGGAUAGGAACGUCCACCGCAUGGUGGGUGUUGGAAAGAUUUAUCGGUCAUGGAUGGACUCGCGGCCUAUCAGCUUGUUGGUGAGGUAAUGGCUCACCAAGGCGACGACGGGUAGCCGGCCUGAGAGGGUGACCGGCCACACUGGGACUGAGACACGGCCCAGACUCCUACGGGAGGCAGCAGUGGGGAAUAUUGCACAAUGGGCGAAAGCCUGAUGCAGCGACGCCGCGUGAGGGAUGACGGCCUUCGGGUUGUAAACCUCUUUCAGUAGGGAAGAAGCGAAAGUGACGGUACCUGCAGAAGAAGCACCGGCUAACUACGUG
rnacentral:rRNA from 1 species